GACAGAGGGUGCAAACGUUGCUCGGAAUCACUGGGCGUAAAGGGCGUGUAGGCGGGAAGGAAAGUCAGAUGUGAAAUCCCUGGGCUCAACCCAGGAACUGCAUUUGAAACUCCCUUUCUUGAGUGUCGGAGAGGAAAGCGGAAUUCCUGGUGUAGAGGUGAAAUUCGUAGAUAUCAGGAGGAACACCGGUGGCGAAGGCGGCUUUCUGGACGAUAACUGACGCUGGAGACGCGAAAGCGUGGGGAGCAAACAGG
rnacentral:rRNA from 1 species